rnacentral:misc_RNA from 1 species
GUAGGUGAACCUGCGGAAGGAUCAUUACCGAAUGUCGACAAGAGUUGUUGCUGGUCCUCGAAUGGGGGCAUGUGCACGCUCUGUUUACACAUCCACUCACACCUGUGCACCCUCUGUAGUUCUAUGGCCUGGAGGGCCUCUGUCCUCUUUGUCCACGGUCCUACGUCUUUACACACACACACCGUAAUAAAGUCUUAUGGAAUGUAUGCAGCGUGUAACGCAAUACAAUACAACUUUCAGCAACGGAUCU